rnacentral:rRNA from 1 species
AUUGAACGCUGGCGGCAGGCCUAACACAUGCAAGUCGAACGAGUGGCGGACGGGUGAGUAAUGUAUGGGGAUCUGCCUGAUGGAGGGGGAUAACUACUGGAAACGGUAGCUAAUACCGCAUACCAUCAGAUGAACCCAUAUGGGAUUAGCUUGUGGGUGGGGUAACGGCUCACCUAGGCGACGAUCCCUAGCUGGUCUGAGAGGAUGAUCAGCCACACUGGGACUUAGACACGGCCCAGACUCCUACGGGAGGCAGCAGUGGGGAAUAUUGCACAAUGGGCGCAAGCCUGAUGCAGCCAUGCCGCGUGUAUGAAGAAGGCCUUAGGGUUGUAAAGUACUUUCAGCGGGGAGGCGUUACCCGCAGAAGAAGCACCGGCUAACUCCGUGCCAGCAGCCGCGGUAAUUC